CGCACAUUGCGCCCUUUGGUAUUCCAAAGGGCAUGCCUGUUCGAGCGUCAUUUGUACCCUCAAGCUUUGCUUGGUGUUGGGCGUUUUGUCUUUGCAUCAAAGACUCGCCUUAAAACGAUUGGCAGCCGGCCUACUGGUUUCGGAGCGCAGCACAUUUUUGCGCUUGCAAUCAGCAAGAGGUCGGCAAUCCAUCAAGUCCAUUUCUCACUUUUGACCUCGGAUCAGGUAGGGAUACCCGCUGAACUUAA
rnacentral:misc_RNA from 1 species